GUCAGGCGCGGUGUCACGUGCCUAUAGUCCCAGCUACUAGGGAGGCUGAGGCUGCAGGAUCGCUUGAGUCCAGGAGUUCUGGGCUGUAGUGUGCUACAUCAUUAUCGGGUGUCCGCACUAAGUUCAGCAUCAAUAUGGUGACCUCCCGGGAGUGGGGGACCAAGAGGUUGCCUAAGAAGGGGUGAACCGACCCAGGCUGGAAAUGGAGCAGGUCAAAACUCCUGUGCUGAUCAGUAGUGGGAUCAUGCUUGUGAAUAGCCACUGCACUCCAGCCUGGGCAACACAGCAAGACCCUGUCUAU
rnacentral:SRP_RNA from 1 species